rnacentral:rRNA from 1 species
UACGUAGGGGGCAAGCGUUGUCCGGAUUUAUUGGGCGUAAAGAGCGUGUAGGCGGCCAGAUAGGUCCGUUGUGAAAACUGGAGGCUUAACCUCCAGCUGUCGAUGGAAACCAUCUGGCUAGAGUCCGGAAGAGGAGAGUGGAAUUCCUGGUGUAGCGGUGAAAUGCGCAGAUAUCGGGAGGAACACCUGUGGCGAAGGCGGCCCCCUGGUUGGAUACUGACGCUGAGACGCGAAAGCGUGGGGAGCGAACCGG